GCCCCCAUAGUUAAAGGGAUAUAACGUUGGUUUCCUAAACCGAAAGUCCAAGUUCGAGUCUUGGUGGGGGCA
rnacentral:tRNA from 1 species